GGAAUAUUUGCCCGGAAUCAAGAAAAGUGAUCAAGGGUUGUUCUUCUUGUCUGUCUUCAAUAAACUCGGUGGCAAACAUUCAAAUUACUUAAGGUUGUUUGUUCGUGGUGUUCAUUGCCUUGAUAAAUAGUGCUUUUAAAGGAAAUUAAAAACAAGCAACACCCAACUAUUGCCAUGAAAAAUCCCGGACAAAAUCCGACCUCCGCCACUGCUGCAGCAAUCAACGAUUCCGUAUAGUGAGUGUGCUGUACUGUACUGUUCUUAUGCAGCCUCAGACUUUGAAUUUUAGUUGGCUGUGCACCGCGCAAACAAAUGCUGAUGAAACAUGUGCCAGUCGGGCGACGUUUCGGCUACAUCGAGCUUGUUUCCGGUUUCCAAAUUUUUGUCCCCCCAGUGAUUUGUGAAUAAUCUUGUGGCGUUUUACCAGUGCAUUCGGCAAUGUCUUGGCUUCGGCGAGUGUCCGAUCCAGUUCGGACGUCCAGAAAAUUUUCCGGAUACGAUUUUCCAGAGGAUGGCGGAUCGUUGUGUUCUGAUGACUCGUUAUCCUCAGGGAAAGUACUUAUGUUGAGCAGCCGCUUUUAAGCGCCGUUUGGAACGGUUCAAGGACCCGCUCUUAUUUGAUUUUGCCAUUAUUAUAAUUUCUCGAAUAUUUGCUCAAUUCGUAUGGGCAAUUGUACCGGUCAAGGCUGUUGUUACGCAACCAAACAGGCUUAACAUUGUUUUUAAUCGUCUAGUAAAUCGGGCUGUUGUUUGUACAUUGGAGCAAUAAAUAAUGGAAUUUGUCAAAGUCUUCAAGUCAAGAAAGGUUGCCCUGAGAAAACCUGCGGAUAAAAGACGACAAAUUUUAUCUAAUUGGAAAUGACGCUCUCUCUGAAAGUUGUUUAAUGUCCCACGGUUCCAGCUUUUGUCUGAUUCAUCACGAAAUCAUUAAACAACGGGGUGUACGCUGUUGUUGACUGUUCGAUGGGUAACAUUUUCCCAUUAAAGAUAAUCAUCAGUUAAACAUGAAAAUUAAGUCUGGCAAUCGAGAAUUAUCUGAACCAAUUUGAUUGCAACUAAAAAGGUAAGAAAUAUGUGUUUGUCACAUAAAUACGACCAAACGAAACGUUGUGAUUAAAACAUCUUUCUGAGACAAUGCAAGCGGAAAUAAACUGAUCAACAAUGUCCAGUUGGCGUGUUGGUGCACGUUCAA